UACGUAGGGGGCAAGCGUUGUCCGGAAUUAUUGGGCGUAAAGAGCGCGUAGGCGGUCCGAUAAGUCGGCUGUGAAAGUCAGGGGCUCAACCCUUGGAAGCCGGCCGAUACUGUCGGACUAGAGUCCGGAAGAGGCGAGUGGAAUUCCCGGUGUAGCGGUGAAAUGCGCAGAUAUCGGGAGGAACACCAAUGGCGAAGGCAGCUCGCUGGGACGGUACUGACGCUGAGGCGCGAAAGCCAGGGGAGCGAACGGG
rnacentral:rRNA from 1 species